rnacentral:tRNA from 1 species
CAGGACCAGCGGGCCUUGAUCCCACAAAAAAUAGUUAACAGCUAGCCCCCCAAACCAGCGGGCAUCCAUCCA